rnacentral:snRNA from 1 species
CCACCUACUUGAGCUUCAAAGUCUUCUUAUCAGUUUAAUAUCUGAUACGUCCCCUACCCGGGGACCAUAUAUUAAAUUGAUUUUUGGAACAGGGAGAUGGAAUAGGGGCUUGCUCCGGCCACUCCACGCAUCCACCUGGUAUUGCAGUACCUCCAGGAACGGUGCACCCCCC